AACGGCUACCACAUCCAAGGAAGGCAGCAGGCGCGCAAAUUACCCACUUCCRAGUUGUUGCAGUUAAAAAGCUCGUAGUUGAACCUUGGGUCUGGCUGGCCGGUCCGCCUCACCGCGUGCACUGGUCCGGCUGGACCUUUCCUUCUGGGGAGCCCCAUGGCCUUUACUGGCUGUGGGGGGAACCAGGACUUUUACUUUGAAAAAAUUAGAGUGUUCAAAGCAGGCCUUUGCUCGGAUACAUUAGCAUGGAACAAUAGAAUAGGACGUGCGGUUCUAUUUUGUUGGUUUCUAGGACCGCCGUAAUGAUUAAUAGGGAUGGUCGGGGGCGUCAGUAUUCGGCUGUCAGAGGUGAAAUUCUUGGAUUUGCUGAAGACUAACUACUGCGAAAGCAUUCGCCAAGGAUGUUUUCAUUAAUCAGGGAACGAAAGUUAGGGGAUCGAAGACGAUCAGAUACCGUCGUAGUCUUAACCAUAAACUAUGCCGACUAGGGAUCGGACGGUGUUUUUAUGAUGACCCGUUCGGCACCUUACGAGAAAUCAAAGUUUUUGGGUUCUGGGGGGAGUAUGGUCGCAAG
rnacentral:rRNA from 1 species